GGUUCCAUGGUGUAAUGGUUAGCCCCCUGGACUUUGAAUCCAGAGAUCCGAGUUCGAGUCUCGGUGGAACCU
rnacentral:tRNA from 1 species